GUCGGGUAUAGCAGGCUAGAUUAGCUGCAGCUGUGUUAGUUAACCAGGUUAGUUUAGCUGUAAUUUAUUACAGUAACCGGAGCCGAACAGCGCGGAAAAUAGCAGCUCCAGAAUCUUUUUACCUGCUAAAGAAAGAAGAAUAAACUGAGAAUUGACCUCCGUCCACCUGCAGCACCUGUGUUUGGUUUCUGAGCUGAAGUCUUCAUUGGACAGUCCUACCAGGGAUCCACCUCUACCUCAACUGCAGCCUAGACUUUGGGACACAGCUACUGUAAGUAGUUUUAAAGUUUAAUUCCCCAUUUAGUGGGGAAUUUAAACACCAUAAUUAAAC
rnacentral:lncRNA from 1 species